AUGCUUACCUUGCAGGAGAAGUACCACGAUCACGAAGGUGGUUUACCCAGGGUGCGGUUUAUCCACUCCGGAUGUGCUGACCCCUGCGAUUUCCCCACAUGUGGGAAACUCGGCUGCAUCAUUUCUAGUAGUGGGGGACUCCAUUUCUAGUAGCGUUUGUGCUUUCCCCUA